rnacentral:rRNA from 1 species
UACGUAGGGGACAAGCGUUGUCCGGAAUUAUUGGGCGUAAAGCGCGUGUAGGCGGCCAAGUAAGUCUUACGUGAAAUCCGGAGGCUCAACCUCAGGCCUGCGCGGGAUACUGCUUGGCUAGAGUCCGGAAGAGGAGAGUGGAAUUCCUGGUGUAGCGGUGGAAUGCGCAGAUAUCAGGAGGAACAUCCGUGGCGAAGGCGGCUCUCUGGGACGGUACUGACGCUGAGACGCGAAAGCGUGGGGAGCGAACAGG